ACGGGGUCGUUCUUGGUGGCAACACCUUGAACGGCCUAGUGGCGAACGGGUGAGUAACACGUGAGGAACCUGCCCCGAAGACCGGGAUAACAGAAGGAAACUUCUGCUAAUACCGGAUACCCCCACCGAAUCGCAUGGUUUGGUGAGGAAAUGGAUUCCGCUUCGGGAGGGCCUCGCGGCCUAUCAGCUAGUUGGUGGGGUAACGGCCUACCAAGGCAUCGACGGGUAGCUGGUCUGAGAGGACGAUCAGCCACACUGGGACUGAGACACGGCCCAGACUCCUACGGGAGGCAGCAGUGGGGAAUCUUGCGCAAUGGGCGAAAGCCUGACGCAGCAACGCCGCGUGCGGGAUGAAGGCCCUCGGGUUGUAAACCGCUUUCAGCAGGGACGAAGAUGACGGUACCUGCAGAAGAAGCCCCGGCCAACUACGUGCCAGCAGCCGCGGUAACACGUAGGGGGCGAGCGUUGUCCGGAUUUAUUGGGCGUAAAGAGCUCGUAGGCGGUUCCGUCAGUCGGGUGUGAAAACUCUGGGCUCAACCCAGAGACGCCACCCGAUACUGCGGUGACUAGAGUCCGGUAGGGGAGUGCGGAAUUCCUGGUGUAGCGGUGAAAUGCGCAGAUAUCAGGAGGAACACCAACGGCGAAGGCAGCACUCUGGGCCGGUACUGACGCUGAGGAGCGAAAGCGUGGGGAGCGAACAGGAUUAGAUACCCUGGUAGUCCACGCCGUAAACGUUGGGCACUAGGUGUGGGACCUUUCCAACGGGUUCCGUGCCGCAGCUAACGCAUUAAGUGCCCCGCCUGGGGAGUACGGCCGCAAGGCUAAAACU
rnacentral:rRNA from 1 species